AAAGAAACCAACAUUAUAUUUGUUAUUCUUAGAUGCAGCUGAGCUUAUUGUUUGUUUGCUUUUAAAUGAUUGCCUUCAACUUUUAAAAUCCAGAUUUUUCAUUUUAACCUAAAUUGUGUUUUAUGAUACAAAUAUAUUCUUUUCAACUAACUCUUAUGCUUACAGGCAACCAAUUACUAUACCAGGGGAGCCCGGAGUUAAUAUUUUUGGUUUCAAAGCUUCACUUUAUUUGAGACUCUAUAAAUACAUUCUCAUGAAGUAUUUAUACACCCUAACCCAGCUCAGAGGAAGAAACAGAAGUAAUGGUGGCGUUUGUUCCAUUAGCUGCUAUCCCAGUCUUGCACCAAGAAGUUUUUUGUAUCAGAAGAUGCUAUCAACUGUGCUCUCUGUCUUUGGACUGAAUUUGCAAAUUGCCAAACACCUUCAGCUGUUAUUUGCAGCAACGAGAACUAAGUUCACAGCCCGUUUCUGGUAUAGGACUUGAAGUAAACCUAAUUCAUCAGUGUAACUAACUGCAACUCUAAGACAGAUAAUUGUGUCUUCCUGAGGUAAUAUAAUUUACAUAUGUAUUUAUAACUCUGAGUGAACUUAAAAACCUUAUUUAAUUAGAAUUUAGCCUUUUUUUUUUUGAUUUUUUAUUUUCUCUGUAUAUUUCUGCUACUCCCACUGUUUCUAAUUUUUAUUUUAGGGCUUCUUUCUCCAUACAGGGUUUGUUUUUGGUGACCCUUCAGUGCCUUCUAAAGACAUUUCCUACAUGCAUUGAAUAUGAUUUGAUUUAUCCCUUCUCUUACCCAUUUUAUAAAUGUUUCUGAAACACACGGGUGUAACAAUAAGCUAUGAUUCAGCACAUUUCCAUCACAUAGAAAUCAAAUUUCAGUGGCUCUGAUUACUCCUUAUUGUACUGAGAUCAAUAGAUGGGAGAACCCUUAACCUAGCAGCAUGCCAGAGUGCCCGACAUGUAUUCAUAAGAAGAGUCUAUAAAUUCAAUAGAAAUACUAGGUUGAAGGGGGCAUUCAUGCUUUGAAUAGCAAGGUUUGUGAGUUGAUUUUUUUUUUUUAAGCUUUUCUACCUUGCUUUACACAAAUUGGAUUUCUAAAAAGGCUUUGAGUCCUUCAGAGUUUGUACUUUGUAGCUGGGUAAAAAAAGAGAUAUAGAUUGUUAUACAAUAUCUACCAAAAUAACAGUUCUCUAGUGACUGAAUGACACUUCAUUUAUAUUCCCCAAUUACUACAUUAAUUCUAAAUUUCACUUGUUAAAACUACUUUCCCAUUCUGAGGUUCUAUAUUGUACAACAUAAUACACUACAAUGCAUUGUGUUUCAUUAAAAAAAUAAUUUCUAAACUAGAUUGAUAUAUACUCAAGUCAGAAGAGGCCCCACAUUCCUUUUUAAACUCAGUGAUAGGAAUCUGGAAUAGUCUAUUGUUUCCGCUGGAACUAAUGUAGAUUUUAGUGGUACAAAGAAGAGCAGGACUUGACCCUCACUGCCAAGAUGGAUGGGAAAAAUAUUAUGUCACUAUUUGCAGUACUACAUACCACUCUAAUAAAUUAAAUGUCGUGCCUUACA
rnacentral:lncRNA from 1 species